UAUGGGUCCCUGCUGGAGAAGCUGUAGCAUCGGUAGGUUCCGCUGGCCGCUCACCAUGGCAGCCGGCUCCAUCACCACCAGCCAGCGAGAGGGCAAGACAAGAGGGCUGACGAGGGACGCUACCAUCACAGAGAAACAGGGUUUCAUUGUGUUAGCCAGGAUGGUCUCGAUCUCCUGACCUCGUGAUCCACCGCGCCCGGCCAAGUCUGAACUUUUGCAUGGCCUGUUGCCCUGGUGAUAAACUGAUGCCUUGUUUCCUAAAAGGAAUAAAGCCAUGAGUUGCCUUUGUUCAGCUCAUGGGCAUUCACCCAUGCACAGAGGAAAAAUAAAAUCUACGACUCGGGUA
rnacentral:lncRNA from 10 species